ACAGCAGCAGCCGCGGUAAUACGUAGGUGGCAAGCGUUGUCCGGAAUUAUUGGGCGUAAAGGGCUCGCAGGCGGUUUCUUAAGUCUGAUGUGAAGGCCCCCGGCUCAACCGGGGAGGGUCAUUGGAAGCUGGGAAACUUGAGUGCAGAAGAGGAGAGUGGAAUUCCACGUGUAGCGGUGAAAUGCGUAGAGAUGUGGAGGAACACCAGUGGCGAAGGCGACUCUCUGGUCUGUAACUGACGCUGAGGAGCGAAAGCGUGGGGAGCGAACAGGAUUAGAGACCCCCGUAGUCCCUGUCUCUUAUAC
rnacentral:rRNA from 1 species